rnacentral:lncRNA from 1 species
AGCCUCCUUGGAACAAGAAAUAUUGGUUUCUCCUCCUUAUCCUCAUCCUCAUCACAGUUUGGGUGCUUUGCAUAUGUAAGAAGAAGGAUGCAGGUGGGAGAGGAAGGAGCCACACUCAGGAAGAAGGAACAGUGGCCAGGACUCUGGUGAGACGGCCGUGGAUGAUGAGGAGAUGGUCAUUCUCUCUGGGGAGCCUGAGCCCUCUCGGAAUCGUCCAGACCACUCCUUCAGACUGAGUGAUCUGUCAUUCUGAAAAGGGUUUCUCCAUGAUUCAGUCCUGGCUGCCCUGUAACUCACUCUGUAGCCCAGGAUGGCCUCGAACCCACAGAGAUCCACCUGCCUCUGCCUGCCAAGUGCUGGGAUUAAAGGCAUGUGCCACCACCAUACAGCUCAGAAUGGAAUCUUCUGUUUUGUAUAUCACCAGACAUCUUCACAGUCAACUUGACUGGACUUAGAAUCACCUAGAAGCCGCCCCUCUGGAUGUGUCUGUGAGGGUGUUUCUAGCCAGGUUUAACCCAGGAGGAAGAAACAGGUUGAC